rnacentral:rRNA from 1 species
GUCCUAGUAAGAUGAAGCUGCGAACGGCUCAUUACACAGUUAUAAUCUUUUUGAUGAAAUACGUACAAGGAUAUCUUUGAGAAUGUCAAAGCUAAUACUUGACGGGUAACGCCUUCAGUCGAGUGUAUUCCUCCGGGAGUAUAAUCUACUGAGGAGGGGAGGACCCCCAAGGUCCUUUCAAUAUAUACCACUUCUUUGUGAAUAAGGGUGGAUUAUAUGCCAAGAGAAUUGUAGAAAUCGAGAGAUUUCACAAGUCAUCAUUAAGAAUAUCUGACCUAUCAACUGGUUGUUGGUAAGGUAGUGGCUUACCAAGGUGAUAACGGGUAACGAG